GAAUAGCCGAGUGUAGCCGAAGAGCCGACGAUAGCCGAGUUUUGCCGGGAAUAGCCGGGUGUAGCCGAAGAGCCGGCAAUAGCCGAGUUUUGCCGACAAUAGCCGGGUGUAGCCGAAGAGCCGACGAUAGCCGAGUUUUGCCGACAAUAGCCGGGUGUAGCCGAAGAGCCGAUGAUAGCCGAGUUCAGCCGAAGUGCCGAAACAAGCCCAGCUUAGACCAACAGCCGAACCAAACCGCCGCUGCACGUACGUGUUUUAAUCGCGUAACCAGGCGGACUCGGGAAAGCCGACAGCCGGAGUAGAUUUCUGUUUGGUCUGUGUCUGUGAGGAGCGGGCUGUGUGCUGGACAGGCAGAGACGCUGUCGGAGCGUGGCAACAGCGCCAGCUGUGAGCUCUGAGGAUGAUGAGGGCUCCGAGCAGCCCCAGCCCUGAGCUGCGAGGAUGAGGAGGGGGCGGCUCCUGCCGGGAGGAGGCUGUUUUAGGGGGGAAGGGGUUGCCUGAGCUCCCUUUUGCCUGGAGCUGCUGAGCAGAGGGGUUUAGGGGGGCUCCCGGCGCUGUCUCGUGGAAGGACGCCGAGAGCUUCUCCGAGGGUCUGGGGGAACACCUGGAUACGCACUUGGAUGCGUGGAGCAUUGCUCAAAGGAGGUGCCGAGGAACAAAGCUCCGUGCCGGGAAGCAGCAGCCGAACGGCCGUGACCAAGGGACCAGAGCCCGGUGACUGCAGGACAUUGCCAGCGAGAGAGGUGGCCUUCCUUUGCAGCGGACGUGGAUUCUCAUCCCAGGAUGCUCGAGAGAUAAGUCGAGGGCUGUGCCACGCUGAGGGGAUGGAAGCAAGGUGCUGGGAGGGCCUUUUGAGUAGUUUCUUUGGAGGCAGGGAUGUGCAGGAGAUGGCCCCUUAGGCCACAUGGAGGAGAAGUCUCAGCGUGCUGAGGUGCUCAGGGCAGAGCGGUCCCGGUGCCUGUCACUUGUGUCACUUGUCUGUCGUGCCUUCUGUGUCUUUUGGAUGUCUCAUGUCGCGUGUCUUGUGCCUUAGUCCUUUGAGGGGCUUAUGGUUUGUCCUGUUCUGUGUCACGGGUGUCUGGGUGUUUGGGCCAAUGCCGCUCUGCCCUGCUGCAAAGCCUGGUGUAGGUAUCAUAGGAGAAGUCCUGGGGGCCUGGAAAUUUGUAAUGCAGGGUGUAGGUGAGCUCUGGAUGGGAUUUGUAGAUUGACGCUAGAUGUCUGGAGCUCCUGUGGUAUCCUGCAGCACUCUGACUUUUGUCCUAACAUUCUUUCAGGUGCAGCCGGCUGAAAUCCGUGGCAGAGGGACCCGUGGCGAGUGAGUGGGCUCUGCAGAGCAGGAAGUCAAGCCGGGUAUCAGCAGGCAAGGUGUUCCAGUGGUAUUACGCCGAGACCCCCUCAGCAACUGGCCAACUGACCCGGUUCAUGGCUCUUGUCGGAAUUGAUCUUGAGGAGUAAAUUUCUGUUCAAGUGAUUUUUUUUUUUUAAUAUAUUAUUAUGUUGUGUCUUAGUCCUGUUAAUUGUUUUGAAUUUUAUUUUUGAUACUUUGAGGCAACUUCUUUGUGGUUUUCUGGUUUUUUGUUUGGUUUUUUUUUGUAGCUAAUAUUAUACAAGUAUUUUUUUUUCUAAUGAUUUUAGUAAUUUUAAUUUUUGUGGCUUAACUGUAAUUUGGGUAAGGGUGUAUAAAUUGUAUUUUAAGAGUUUGUGGUAUAUAGGAUUGAUUUACAAUUUAAAGUUUGCGAGGGAUAAGGUUAGGUGUUAAGAGGUAUACUAGCAAUGUAUGUAGAAAAUGGAUUUUUAGGAUUGGUGACUGAUGAACACUGUAUUUGGAUGCGUGGUUUUAGUUAGGGUUGCUUAUGUGUUUUGUUUUGGUUGUGGAACUAUUUAUGUAGGGUUUUUUUGGUGUAUUUUAAAUAAUGUUUGACACUGAGUAGCAAUCUCGUCUAUUUAUUUUUUGUGGAAACAGGUAUAACUUUUUCUUCAGGUUAUGAAAUUUACAGGAUUACUUUAUUGAUUACUUACUAAAUAUUGUUCUCGAGUAGGUUUUCGUAACUCUGAUUUUGAAAUCAAAGAAAAAUGAGUGGAAAAAGAUGAGGUAGAGCAGUUUUCUCCUUAUGGGAUAUAAAGGGUUUAACACAGAA